rnacentral:rRNA from 1 species
CCUUAUGAUUUGGGCCACAUCCGUUGAUUGAUCUUUUGGGGGCCAACCAACAACAGUGGGUGAACAGACUUAGAGUCUGUGAGUAGACGANAAGGAGAGACAGCCGAUAACGUCCGUGAUGAAGGNACUGGUAGCCCAAAACUCUCUCGAAAAAAAUCANACUAGUCGCUCAACGUUCCGGAACUCUAGUAGAGAUCGUUUGCAAACUCCGCUCUAGUCAAUGAAGCGAGUGUGGNAAUCGGCGUAGUAAGUCGAGCGAAGAACUGCAUUGAUCCUGUAAUCGGGNAGAGGGCNGUUGGCCCANAGAUUAUAGGUUUA